CAGUAGCCGCGGUAAAACGUAGGUGGCAAGCGUUGUCCGGAAUUAUUGGGCGUAAAGGGCUCGCAGGCGGUUUCUUAAGUCUGAUGUGAAAGCCCCCGGCUCAACCGGGGAGGGUCAUUGGAAACUGGGAAACUUGAGUGCAGAAGAGGAGAGUGGAAUUCCACGUCUAGCGGUGAAAUGCGUAGAGAUGUGGAGGAACACCAGUGGCGAAGGCGACUCUCUGGUCUGUAACUGACGCUGAGGAGCGAAAGCGUGGGGAGCGAACAGGAUUAGAUACCCCUGUAGUCCCUGUCUCUUAUAC
rnacentral:rRNA from 1 species